rnacentral:rRNA from 1 species
GACGAACGCUGGCGGCGUGCUUACUACAUGCAAGUCGAACGAAGUGGCGAACGGGUGAGUAACGCGUAAUCAACCUGCCCUUCAGAGGGGGAAAACAGUUGGAAACGACUGCUAUUACCGCAUAACGUAGGAGGGGAUUGCGUCUGCUUAGCUGGUUGGUGGGGUAACGGCCGACCAAGGCGAUGAUCAGUAGCCGGUCUGAGCGGAUGAACGGCGACAGUGGGACUGAGACACGGCCCAGACUCCUACGGGAGGCAGCAGUAGGGAAUCUUCCGCAAUGGAGGAAAGACUGACGGAGCAACGCCGCGUGAGUGAUGACGGCCUUCGGGUUGUAAAGCUCUGUUAAUCGGGACGCGGUACCGAAAUAGAAAGCCACGGCUAACUACGUGCCAGCAGCCGCGGUAAUAC